rnacentral:rRNA from 1 species
CCUCGGGAGGCAGCAGUGGGGAAUAUUGGGCAGUGGGCGCAAGCCUGACCCAGCAACGCCGCGUGAAGGAAGAAGGCUUUCGGGUUGUAAACUUCUUUUCUGAGGGACGAAGAAAGUGACGGUACCUCAGGAAUAAGCCACGGCUAACUACGUGCCAGCAGCCGCGGUAAUACGUAGGUGGCAAGCGUUAUCCGGAUUUAUUGGGUGUAAAGGGCGUGUAGGCGGGAAAGCAAGUCAGAUGUGAAAUCCGGGGGCUCAACCCCCGAACUGCAUUUGAAACUGUUGGUCUUGAGUAUCGGAGAGGCAGGCGGAAUUCCUAGUGUAGCGGUGAAAUGCGUAGAUAUUAGGAGGAACACCAGUGGCGAAGGCGGCCUGCUGGACGACAACUGACGGUGAGGCGCGAAAGCGUGGGGAGCAAACAGGAUUAGAUACCCCUGUAGUC